UGGGGAAUAUUGCGCAAUGGGGGCAACCCUGACGCAGCCAUGCCGCGUGAAUGAAGAAGGCCUUAGGGUUGUAAAGUUCUUUCGGUAUUGAGGAAGGUUGAUGUGUUAAUAGCACAUCAAAUUGACGUUAAAUACAGAAGAAGCACCGGCUAACUCCGUGCCAGCAGCCGCGGUAAUACGGAGGGUGCGAGCGUUAAUCGGAAUAACUGGGCGUAAAGGGCACGCAGGCGGUUAUUUAAGUGAGGUGUGAAAGCCCUGGGCUUAACCUAGGAAUUGCAUUUCAGACUGGGUAACUAGAGUACUUUAGGGAGGGGUAGAAUUCCACGUGUAGCGGUGAAAUGCGUAGAGAUGUGGAGGAAUACCGAAGGCGAAGGCAGCCCCUUGGGAAUGUACUGACGCUCAUGUGCGAAAGCGUGGGGAGCAAACAGGAUUAGAUACCCUGGUAGUCCACGCUGUAAACGCUGUCGAUUUGGAGGUUGGGGUUUAACUCUGGCGCCCGUAGCUAACGUGAUAAAUCGACCGCCUGGGGAGUACGGCCGCAAGGUUA
rnacentral:rRNA from 1 species